rnacentral:rRNA from 1 species
UACAGAGGUCCCAAGCGUUGUUCGGAUUCACUGGGCGUAAAGGGUGCGUAGGUGGCGAGGAAAGUCGGAUGUGAAAGCUCGGAGCUCAACUCCGAAAUGGCAUUGGAAACUACCUUGCUCGAGGGUUGGAGGGGGGACUGGAAUGCUUGGUGUAGCAGUGAAAUGCGUAGAUAUCAAGCGGAACACCAGUGGCGAAGGCGAGUCCCUGGACAACUCCUGACACUGAGGCACGAAAGCUAGGGGAGCAAACAGG